rnacentral:misc_RNA from 1 species
GUGGUCGCAUGCGGGAGCUUCAGAAUGAACAUCAUAUGAAGUCUUUUGGUCUACAGGUUGCUGCCGCGGGAUAUGACAGACAGGGUGUUGCUGAUCAUGCAAAUAAUUUGGCCUCCAAGAUUCGUAGUAAUUUGACCAAUUCAAUGAAAUCCCUUGGUGUGGAUAUAUUAACAGGUUUUGGGACAGUUUUGGGUCCACAAAAGGUCAAAUAUGGAGAUACUGUAAUAACAGCAAAGGAUAUUAUUAUUGCUACUGGUUCUGUCCCCUUGGUGCCCAAAGGCAUCGAGGUUGAUGGUAAGACAGUGAUAACAAGUGAUCAUGCACUCAAAUUAGAAUUUGUACCUCAAUGGAUUGCUAUUGUUGGAAGUGGUUACAUUGGACUAGAAUUCAGUGAUGUGUAUACGGCACUUGGAAGUGAGGUUACCUUUGUUGAGGCUUUAGAUCAACUCAUGCCCGGCUUUGAUCCCGAAAUUGGGAAAUUGGCACAGCGAGUCCUCAUAAAUCCUCGAAAGAUUGAUUAUCAUACAGGUGUAUUUGCAAGCAAGAUAACUCCAGCAAAGGAUGGAAAACCAGUGACUAUUGAGCUUAUUGAUGCAAAGACUAAGGAACUGAAGGAUACAUUGGAAGUAGAUGCUGCUCUAAUUGCAACCGGAAGGGCUCCAUUCACUCAAGGACUUGGCCUGGAAAAUAUAAAUGUUCAAACACAACGUGGAUUUGUUCCUGUUGAUAGUCGCAUGCGUGUCAUUGAUGCCAGCGGAGAGUUGGUUCCCCACUUGUAUUGCAUUGGUGAUGCAAAUGGAAAAAUGAUGCUUGCACAUGCUGCAAGUGCACAAGGGAUCUCUGUUGUUGAGCAAGUUACUGGCAAGGACCAUGUCCUGAAUCAUUUAAGUAUUCCAGCUGCAUGCUUUACCCAUCCUGAAAUCAGUAUGGUCGGAUUAACAGAGCCUCAAGCCAGAGAAAAAGCUGAAAAGGAGGGCUUUGAGAUUGGUAUAGCCAAGACUAGUUUCAAGGCCAACACAAAAGCCCUUGCUGAAAAUGAAGGGGAGGGACUUGCAAAGUUGAUAUAUAGACCCGACAGUGGGGAGAUCCUCGGUGUUCACAUUUUUGGAAUGCAUGCUGCUGACCUCAUUCAUGAAGCAUCCAACGCCAUAGCUCUGGGAACACGCAUACAGGACAUCAAGUAUGCUGUUCAUGCGCAUCCAACCUUGUCUGAAGUGAUAGAUGAACUCUUUAAGGCAGCAAAGGUUAAAGCUAACACUUCUAGUCCAGCGGCUGAGCCAGUUGCAGCUUAAGUUUCAAGGAGUCGCUGUGAUGGAUUCAUAAUUUAUAUGAUUUUGCAUAAGUUUCUGAUUGGAGCUUGUGGACUUGAUUUUCACAUGUUGUGUUGUGCAAUAGUCUAGAAAGCAGUUUCUUGCUCAACCUUUCUGCAAGUGCGCGCAUACAUUAGUUAGUUGCCUAAAUGAAUUUGGCGUAGAAACAAUUUUGUUUUCUAGUUUAUUAGCGUUUAAGCUUGUGGUAUAUAUUGGUUGCACUGGUAAAAUAAUUUUCUGUGAGGGUAUUGUAACCUCUAUGCUAUAAUCACUCACUCAUGCAUUGAGUAACGAAAAG